rnacentral:rRNA from 1 species
AUGGUGGCAAUUGCCACGUCAACUGGCGGCGCGUCUGUCGGCCUCUCCAGUUUGGUGGCCUCGGCGUUCAUGACCUCGAGCGCACCGGCCUCGCCCUACGCAUGCGAUGGCAAUGGCUCAGCCGAGUCGAUGAUAGCAGGGCCUGGAGCGGCCUUGACUUGCAAUUCGCGCCCGAGGAGCGCGCGCUCUUCUUCGCCUCCACUACCAUGA